CUGGAUCUCCUCCAUAACCUCUUGGUGUUGGAGACUCACAGUCCUGCAGCCAGAGAAGAAGAACCAUUGGCUCAAUGGUGAUCACAUGACGUUUGGUGUAAUGUACUACUCAUAUUGUGAUUCACAUCAAAAUAUAAAAACAAUUUCUGGGUUCCUAACAGCAAUUAGCAAAGAAGAGAGAAUGCCACGAAAAUCUGGAACUACUCAUCUAGCCACAGCCAUUGCUUUCCAAAGGGACCUUCAUGGGUACUGAUAAGUACGAAGAAGAAAAAGAAGCAGGAUAAGGAGACAGAGAAUGAUGAAGGAAGGCUCCUUCAGAUGGUCAGGGAAGGCAGUCUUGGGAGAUGACACUGGAGAAGGCAUUUGAAUGACAUGAGAAGGCAAGCCGUGGAUCUGCAUUCCAGAAAGAGAAAUGGAGCCCUUCAGAGGCAAUAGCAUUUGAAUUCUCCAAUGGGACACCUUUCUGGAGCCACUGUAGUCCGUGGAGACUCUGGGUGCUAUAGGACCUACUACCUUCAGUGUGUGCCACUGUCGCAGCCACAAUGACAUGGUCAGAGACUGGGGAGUGAGCCGGAAGGAGGUUUAUUUCUGAGACCGUGCUGGGCUCUGUUGUGAAGAAGACUGCAGCUCUUAACACUGAGAUAAGCACAGAGCCCCCAGGGACAGCCGUUGGCACAAGCUCAUCCUGAGAGCAAGCAGACACCUUAGAGGACACUGAACUGAGAAAAGGAUGGAAAGUUUUGCUGACUCCUUUUGAGCCUCUCAAUCUACUGAUUCCUGAAUCCCCCCACCUCACUCCCUCUGAAUCUGAGUAAUAAAUCUUUCUCUCCCCUGUCCCUUUUUCUAAAAACCCAGCCUGGGUCAGUUUGAAUUGGGUUUUCUGUCAAACUCCUCAUGUCACCUUCACUGGGCUGCUUAAUUGACUUGUGUGCUUUAGGCCAGCUGAUCCGGUACUGAAAAGAAACUCAACAAAUGUUCAAAUCCUUCAAACUUGGUCUCCUUGGUUAAUUUAAGGACAAGCUGGUGUAAGAAAGCUGAUUACAGAAGUAGUUUGUAUUGAUAAGACACUGCUUCUUUUUGUUAUAUAUAUAUUCAGUUCCACUUAAGAAUUACUUGAAAAAAUGCUAAUAUACAAAUGUUUUAAAAAUAAGCACAUGUGCCCCUGGGUGCAAUGGCAUAUACCUGUAAUCCCAGCAUUGUGGGAGGCUGAGCUCUGGAGGAUCAUAGGUUCGAGCCUAGACUAGACAACUUAGUGAGACUGUCUCAAAUAAAAAAAUAAAAAAAUAGGGC